rnacentral:lncRNA from 1 species
CUCAACUUAAUUCUAUAAAAAUCAACAAUAAAAUAAUCACAUCAAUCAUUCAUCGAAUAAACCUAGGAUAGACUAAGUUUCUUUUGGCACCAUUAAAACGAAGAGAGAGUCUACAUGUCUAGAAAAUAAUUUUACAGAACUUCUACAUAAUACACACAAUAUGGGAUGGGUGGUUUUUUUGGACAAUAUUUUGGAUGAAGCCCCACCAUUGUUGCCAUCUCUCGGGAGGUUGAAGGAAAGGAAUGAAGACUUAGGCCACAUGUUCUUUUACUUGUGGCUUCUUUUUUUUUUUUUUUUUUUUUUCUCAAUUAGGCCCAUUAUCCAGGCCUGCAAGCUCUCGAUAUGAAUUCCAACUAAGCUGCUGCUAUGUACCAUAAGAAUUUUGCAAAAAUCAAACAAAGCAAAAAAGCCCCAUCUUCCUCCGAUUGCACAGUCGACGCUGAGCCUUCGGCCUUGUGAUUUGUGAUCUAUCAACGCCGAGCCUUCACCCUUCACCACUGCUUGCCGCAGCCACCGCUGUGUGAGCCUCUCUUAUUUUAUUUAUUAUUUUUUAGUUUAUUUAUUUAAUGCCAUUUUCAUUGGAAAUGUUUUAUGAUUUAUGUGUCUAUGGUUUAUGUUUUAUGACUAUGAGCCUGCUACCGAGGUUUAUCCGUUUAUGAUUUUUGAAAUUUUGUUUUGGUUGGGCUGGUUGUGUGCGUUGUAUGAUAACGACCUAUAUUUGUUUUAUCUUCUCUUUAUAGUAUGUUUUGACAAAUUUUAUUUCUUUUCUUUAUUAUUAAAUUUCAUUUUGCUCUUAUUGCUUCUAAUCUUUUUGGCGACUAGUAUUCACUUUGUAUAGAAAGGAUGUUAUUGGCAUUAGAAUUGGAUUACAUCUGAAACCAUUGUUUUUGGAUCUGGAGAAGGUUUAAAAAUUUGUUGCUGUGUGCAAAGAGACUAAAAAUCCAGGAACUUCUUGAUUUUAUCCUUCUAAACUCUACAAAUUGAUACAAGUUUAGAUCAAUUCUAUUUGCCGUAAUGAAGAUUCUAUUGGUUUUGAUAUUCUUCUUAUCACUAUCGCGGAAUUCUGGUAAUCAAUGAGAACUAUUAAUAUAUAUCACGUCAAUGCUAGAUUUGGGUAAUUUUCAUCAAAAGCCUCACAGCAUCCCUGACCUGGCUAACUUGAUUCUUUGUUGAGUUUGCCUAUUUCCUUGUGUUCUACACUUUAACCGGAGCCGGUGCUUUUAUAGUGACUUUCCCGCUCACAGUUCAAGCAUGUUAUGGGUUUUGCCUUUUCUAGUUGUAUUAUGAUUUUAGGCAGAGCAAUACUUUGUCUAGUGGCUAAUAGACACUGAUUUUAUACAUUAUAUAUUAUGAAUGGAUGUAUUCUUAUCAUUAGUCUGACUUUUGCCAAUGCAGAACUUUGUUAUUUUUCUUUUGGUUCUUUAGGCUGCAUAUGGUGCAAAUAGUAGUUAUGGAACAAAUUAUACACAUCAACAAGUACCUACAUCAGUGCCCCAAAGAUGCUUAUGGAACUUAUCCUCAAACUUUUUCAGCCCAGGUAACUUAAAACAGUUCUCUAAAUCAUAGCUAGGAAAUGGAUAGUUCCUUUUGUUGGAUAUGAUUUGAGUCUUUAUAAAAGCAUAAGUCAACACCCCAUUUCAUAUGUUUCAAGAAGUGAAGUUUCUUGAUUUGCCAUCAUUUUACUUUAAUAGUAUAAUCCGUUAAUAGGUCUGCAUCAGCAUAUGCACUAGUUUGUGUUUGGCAUUGGAGCAUUCUGAUUUAAAAUUAGAAAUGAUUUACAAAUUUACUUUUUUUUUUUUUUUUUUUACU